UCGACCUUUGAAUUUACCACAUGAGUAAAUUGUUUAAUUAAUUAAAGAUUACGCAAUGCGAAUUUAUUACUGCAUGGACAAACUGCAUGGUUAUCACAGCUCCUUCAAAGUACCUUGGCAUGAAUGGUUAGGUUGGAAUUCAAGGUUAUUUUACGUCACACUCGAUUGAACUAAUGUUGCAGGAUUUUGUAGAUGGUAAUUUCGAAUCUAAAUUAUAUUUAACAAAUAGAUAAGAUUUUGCCGUUGUCUGUUCAGUUAUAGAUACACAGUAUGGCGU